GUCCCAGUAAAAAUAAAUGGUCACCAUUAUUAACUAUGCUAUUUUGAAAUGGGUUUAGAAAAGGGAGCAUGAGGGAGAUGAAGAUCUCAAUGACAUUCACAGGCACAAGAAAAGUAAGCACAAGAGCUCAAAAAUGGAUGAAAUGGGUGCAAUAAAGGUAGCAGCUUGAAAGUGGCAUGUGAUCUAUAUUAUUGUCUGUCGUCGAUGUCGCAUAUGAAAAUUCAAGAGGUCCUUACUUAGUGUAGUCAUGUCGAGAACCGUCUGAUCUGUUUGUAGCUGCUUUGAAGCAUCCAAGAACUCCGACAAAUCCUUCUUUGGAUUACCUGUCUGCAGAUUCAGAUCAUAUGAGCAAAAGAACGAGAAUCAUGGGGAUAACCGAAGAGGUUACAUAUCUUUAUAAAACAAUGUUAAAAACAGUAUGUGUGACAUUUUUGCAGUAAUACA